rnacentral:tRNA from 1 species
GCGUUCAUGGUGUAAUGGUUAGCAUUGCUGCCUUCCAAGCAGUAGAUCUGGGUUCGAUUCCCGGUCAACGCA